rnacentral:rRNA from 1 species
UACGUAGGGAGCAAGCGUUGUCCGGAUUUAUUGGGCGUAAAGAGCUCGUAGGCGGCUUAGCAAGUCAGGUGUGAAAGCCCGGGCUCAACCCCGGAGGGUCGGCUGAUACUGCAGGACUGGAGUACGGAAGAGGUAGCUGGAAUUCCCGGUGUAGCGGUGAAAUGCGUAGAGAUCGUAAGGAAGACCAGUGGCGAAGGCGGGUCUCUGGACAGUUCCUGACACUGAGGCACGAAGGCCAGGGAGCAACGGGAGUAGAAUGAUCCA